GUCCACGCUGUAAACUAUGAUUACUCGAUGUUUGCGAUAUACAGUAAGCGUCUAAAGCGAAAGCGAUAAGUAAUCCACCUGGGGAGUACGCUCGCAAGAGUGAAACUCAAAGGAUUGACGGGGGCCGCACAAGCGGAGGAGUAUGUGGUUUAAUUCGAUGAUACGCGAGGAACCUUACCUGGGCUUGAAAGUUAGUGACCGGCUCUGAAAGGAGCUUUUCCGCAAGGACACGAAACUAGGUGCUGCAUGGCUGUCGU
rnacentral:rRNA from 1 species